AAAACCCACACAAACUCAGGGAGAACAUGUAAACUCCAUGCAGAUGUUGUCCUUGGUCGGAUUUAAACCUAGGACCCCAGCGCUGCAAGGCACCAGUGCUAACCACUGAGCCACCGGUCCACAGGAGGCAGACAUGUG